UAGAGAUGCAUUUGCUAUAUGUGCUAUUUGAAGCUUCUGUUUAACUGAAUUGUUUUGUCUGGAGUAGCAAUUAUUAUCUUCUGAUAGUCCGAUUAAGCUUUUUGUGUAUGUGAGUGCAUGUUGCAUGCCUUUGUGUUCUGUGAGAUCCUCUCCCCUUGACUACAGUCUCUUUUUUCUCUAACCCCUCCUCCUCCUCUUCUCCUCUCCAUUCGCUGCAGGCCUAGAGUGUGUGGGUGUUUUAAAGGGGCUGGCAGGAGGGGUGUGGGGGCUUCAGUCCCACCCUUCUCUCCCUCUGGUGGGUUCUUGUGGUUUGGAUCACUUUGAGGGUACACAGCCUGGAGGACCGCUCUCUACGGAACAAGGUGUAUAUGAAGUCACGACUCAACUGUGUGCUUCUGUCCAACAGAGAUCUCGAGUACAGGAGUGAACGGAGAUGUGGAGGAAGUAAAAGAAGAUGGAGGAGAACUGGAUGAGGUGUGGAACACAAUGGGGAUGAUAAAAGAGAAGGCGAAGAAAAGAGCAACAGAAGAAUAGGAAGCUGUUGUUGUAGAAGCAGACAAGAGGAAGCUGUUGUUGAAGAAGCAGAGAAGAGGAAGCUGUUGUUGAAGAAGCAGAGAAGAGGAAGCUGUUGUUGAAGAAGCAGAGAAGAGGAAGCUGUUGUUGAAGAAGCAGAGAAGAGGAGGCUGUUGUUGAAGAAGCAGAGAAGAGGAAGCUGUUGUUGAAGAAGCAGAGAAGAGGAGGCUAUUGUUGAAGAAGCAGAGAAGAGGAAGCUGUUGUUGAAGAAGCAGAGAAGAGGAAGAUGUUGAAGAAGACUAAGAAGAGGCAUCAAACACUAUUUAUUUCUGAAACAUAUUAUACCCUUAUAUUAAACUAAAUAUGGCUGAUACCGCAGUAGACACGACCACAACCACUGAGAUUUCAGAAAAGGAGCUCAAAGAGAGGAAAGAGGAGGUGGAGUAGAAGGAGAAUGGCAGUUGGGACGCACCAGCCAACAGCAAUGGAACACACACAAAUGGUGCAGAGAAGAAGACCAAUUGUGCAGAUGAUUCUGAAGAAACCCCUGAGGGUGAGAAGGAAGAGGAGGAUGGAGAGGGACUGGAUGCAGCUAAGGAUGCAGAAUAAGCUGUGAUGAGGAGGUUGACCACCCUGUGAAGCGUCCAGCUGAUGAGGAGGUUGACCACCCUGUGAAGCGCCCAACUGAUGAGGAGGUUAACCACCCUGUGAAGCGCCCAGCUGAUGAGGAGGAACAAGUGGAAAGAAAAAAACAGAAAACGGUGAAUCAAAGGAAGCUGAAGUGAAGACAUAAUGUGCGGAGUAUGUACUCCUCCGCAUCGCUGUCUACAUGGCGUGUUCAACUUCACCUUGAAGAGCUUGUGCUUUAUGUAUGCUUUAAAUAAUGGCACCGGGGGGGUGGCUGCCAUUUUACGGGCUCCUAACCAACUGUGCUAUAUUGUUGUUUCUAACUUAUUAUUUUACUUAUUUUGUACAUAUUGUUGCUGCUACCGUCUUUUUUGACCGAAAACAGCUUCUAGACAUCAGAACAGUAAUUACUCACCUCGAACUGGACAAAGACUUUUUCUUUAACGAAUCCGACGCAGAGGAUAUACUGCAUUCUCGAGACCAGGCCCAAACCCUGUCAUUUGCGAGAAGAAAAGACGGAGAUAAAGGGGGUGGAGGUCGGGCUUCCUUCUGAGAAUUCGUAGGCGAGUGAGUAAACUUCCACUACCAUUCGUACUAUUGGCCAACGUGCAAUCACUGGAAAAUAAAGUGGAUGAUCUACGAUUUAAGAAUAUCCUACCAACGUGACAUUAAAAACUGUGCUAUCUUAUGUUUCACCAAGUCGUGGCUGAACGACGACACAGAUACUAUAGAGCUGGCUGGGUAUUCCGUGCAUCGGCAGGACAGAGAAGCUACGUCUGGUAAGACAAGGGGCGGGGAGGUUUGUAAAUAACAUCUGGUGCACAAUUUCUAAUAUUAAAGAAGUCUCGAGGUACUGCUCGCCUGAGAUAGAAUACCUCAUGAUAAGCUGUAAACCACACUAUCUACCAAGAAAGUUCUCAUCUAUAUCUAUUUAUAUAUAUAAAUAUAUAUCUAUCAAAACGAUGCUGGCACUAAGACCGCACUCAACGAUCUAUAUAAGGCCAUAAGUAAAGAAAAAAAUGCUCAUCCAGAAGCGCCGCUCGUAGUGGCCGGGGACUUUAAAUGCAGGCAAACUUAAAUCCGUUUGACCUAAUUUUGACCAGCAUGUCACAUGUGCAACCAGAGGGAUACAUAACAUACAAAGCUCUCCCUCACCGUCCAUUUGGCAAAUCUGACCAUAAUUCUAUCCUCCUGAUUCCUGCUUACAAGCAAAAACUAAAGCAGGAAGUACCAGUGACUCGCUCAAUAUGGAAGUGGUCAGAUGACACGGAUGCUACGCUACAGGACUGUUUUGCUAGCACAGACUGGAACAUGUUCCGGGAUUCAUCCAAUGGCAUUGAGGAGUAUACCGCUUCAUCAAUAAGUUCAUCGACGACAUCGUCCCCACAGUGACCGUACGUACAUAUCCCAACCAGAAGCCAUGGAUAGCUAAAGGCUAGAGCUGCCGCUUUCAAGGAUCGGGACACUAAUCCGGACGCUUAUAAGAAAUCCCGCUACGCCCUCAGAAGAACCAAUCAAACAGACAGUGUCAAUACAGGACUAAGAUUGAAUCCUACUACACCGGCUCUGACGCUCGUCGGAUGUGGCAGGGCUUGAAAACCAUUACAAACUACAAAAGGAAACCCAGCCACGAGCUGCCCUGUGACGCGAGCCUACCAGACGAGCUUACCAGACGAACUAAAUGCCUUUUAAUACUUACUUCGAGGCAAGCAACACUGAAGCAUGCAUUAGAUCGCCAGCCAUUCCGGACGACUGUGUGAUCACACUCUCGGUAGCACAUGUGAGCAAGACUGCUGAUCCUCAACACUGGGGCCCCUCGGGGUGCGCGCUUCGUCCCCUCCUGUACUCCCUGUUCACCCACGACUGCGUGGCCAAACACGACUCCAACACCCUCAUUUAAGUUUGCUGAUGACACAACUAGAGGUCGACCGAUUAUGAUUUUUCAAAGCCGAUACCGAUUAUUGGAGGACCAAAAAAAGCCGAUACCGAUUAAAUGGCCGAUUUUUAAUAAAAAAAAUGUUUUUUUGUAAUAAUGACAAUUACAACAAUACUGAAUGAACACUUAUUUUAACUUAAUAUAAUACAUCAAUAAAAUUAAUUUAGCCUCAAAUAAAUAAUGAAACAUGUUCAAUUUGGUUUAAAUAAUGCAAAAACAAAGUGUUGGAGAAGAAAGUAAAAGUGCAAUAUGUGCCAUGUAAAAAAGCUAACGUUUAAGUUCCUUGCUCAGAACAUGAGAACAUAUGAAAGCUGGUGGUUCCUUUUAACAUGAGUCUUCAAUAUUCCCAGGUAAGAAGUUUUAGGUUGUAGUUAUUAUAGGAAUUAUAGGACUAUUUCUCUCUACGAUUUGUAUGUCAUAUACCUUUGCCUAUUGGAUGUUCUUAUAGGCACUUUAGUAUUGCCAGUGUAAUAGUAUAGCUUCCAUCCCUCUCCUCGCCCCUACCUGGGCUCGAACCAGGAACACAUCGACAACAGCCACCCUCGAAGCAGCGUUACCCCUGCAGAGCAAGGGGAACAACUACCCCAAGUCUCAGAGCGAGUGACGUUUUAAACGCUAUUAGCGCACACCCCGCUAUCUAGCUAGCCAUUUCACAUCGGUUACACCAGCCUAAUCUCGGGAGUUGAUAGGCUUGAAGUCAUAAACAGCUCAAGGCUUGAAGCACAGCGACGAGCUGCUGGCAAAACGCACGAAAGUGCUGUUUGAAUGAAUGCUUACGAGCCUGCUGGUGCCUACCAUCGCUCAGUCAGACUGCUCUAUCAAAUCAAUCAUAGACUUAAUUAUAACAUAAUAACACACAGAAAUACGAGCCUUUGGUCAUUAAAAUGGUCGAAUCCGGAAACUAUCAUUUCGAAAACAAAACGUUUAUUCUUUCAGUGAAAUACGGAACUGUUCCGUAUUUUAUCUAACGGAUGGCAUCCCUAAGUCUAAAUAUUCCUGUUACAUUGUACAACAUUCAAUGUUAUGUCAUAAUUAUGUACAAUUCUGGCAAAUUAACUACAACCUUUGUUAGGAAUAAAUGGACUUCGCACAGUUCGCAAUGAGCCAGGCGGCCCAAACUGCUGCAUAUACCCUGACUGCUUGCACGGAACGCAAGAGAAAUUACACAAUUUCCCUAGUUAUAAGAAAUUCAUGUUAGCAGGCAAUAUUAUCUACAUAUGCAGGUUUAAAAAUAUAUACUUGUGUAUUGAUUUUAAAGAAAGGCAUUGAUGUGUAUGGUUAGGUACAUUGGUGCAACGACAGCGCUUUUUUCCACAAAUGCGCUUGUUAAAUCAUCAUCCGUUUGUCGAAGUAGGCUGUGAUUCAAUGAGAAAUUAACAGGCACCACAUCGAUUAUAUGCAACGCAGGACACGCUCGAUAAACUAGUAAUAUCAUCAACCAUGUGUAGUUAACUAGUGAUUAUGUUAAGAUUGAUUGUUUUUUAUAAGAUAAGUUUAAUGCUAGCUAGCAACUUACCUUUGCUUCUUGCUGCCCUCACGUAACAGGUAGUCAGCCUGCCACGCAGGCUCCUCGUGGAGUGCAAUGUACUGCAGUGGGUAGAGUGUUGGACUAGUAUCCGGAAGGUUGCAAAAACGAAUCCCCGAGCUGACAAGGUAAAAAUCUGUCGUUCUGCCCCUGAACAAGGCAGUUAACCUACCGUUCCUAGGCCGUCAUUGAAAAUAAGAAUGUGUUCUUAACUGACUUGCCUAGUUAAAUAAAGGUGUAAAGAAUUAUCUGCAAAUCGUUGUCCAAAAAUACAGAUUACCGAUUGUUAUGAAAACUUUUAAUCGGCCCUUCCGAUUAAUCGGUCGACCUCUAGACACAACAGUGGUAGGCCUGAUCACUGACAACAAUGAGACAGUCUAUAGAGAGGACAUCAAAGAACAGGCCCCCAUUAACAUCGAUGGGGCUGUAGCGAAGUGGGUCCAGAGUUUCAAGUUCCCUGGUGUCCAGAUCACUAACAAACUACCAUGGUCCAAACACACCAAGACAGUCGUGAAGAGGGCACGGCAGCACCUUCUCCUUCUCAGGAGACUGAAAAGCGCCAAGUCUAGGACCAAAAGGCUCCUUUAACAGGUUCUACCCCCAAGCCAUAAGACUACUGAACAAUUAAUCAAAUGGCCACCCGGACUAUUUACAUUGACCACCCCCUCCCUUUGUUUUACACUGCUGCUACUCGCUGUUUAUUAUUAUUAUCUAUGCAUGGUCACUUCACCCCUACCUACAUGUACAAAAUAACUAAAACUACCCUGUACCCCCCCGCACAUUGACUCGGUACCGGUACCCCCUCUAUAUAGCCUUGUUAUUUUUAUUAUGUUACUUUUUAUUUUACUAUUUUUACUUUAGUUUAUUUAGUAAAUAUCUUCUUAACUCUUUCAUGAACUGCAUUGUUGGUUAAGUAAGCAUUUCCCUGUUGUAUUCGGAGCAUGUGACAAAUACAAUUUUAUUUGAUUUUGUUUGUCCCCAAGAUAUUACAUUGCACCAGAGUGCUAAAACAUAGAGGCCUGUCCUCUCUUUUUAUAAACUUAUUUAUUGGUUUCUUACGCGAAAUAAAAAAUUAAAACCUU